rnacentral:lncRNA from 1 species
CCGGGGUGUGCAAAGAGGGAAGUCCUGCUGGUGUGUAACUGAAAACACUUUGUUCUCCUUCAGAUCUGCAACGUGCUCGUGUCUCUUCUGAUUUUCUUAUGGCGGCCGUCACCUCCACUAUGGAAAGAAAAAUGAACGACCCAUUUCAGUAGACUGUGACACUUUGGCGACCUGCAAAUUCUACACACUAGAGUUCAUAUUUUACACAAGUGCCGGAUCCCCAAGCCACGGACUCUCAUUCCUCCCGGCAACAUCCAGCUCCCAGCAGAAGACAGAGACCCUGUCAGAGGACGAAGACUCCUAAUGAAGAUGCAUUACAGGUGAUAUUUACGGUCAGCCCCUUAGGAAAACAGAAAUGAUUCAUGAAUAAUUUCAUGGAAGUCACACCAAAAAGAGAGUCAUAAUUUUCUCAAGUCCACGUUGUGGCCACUUGCAGUCCCACAAGUCACCACAGCUUCACUUCAAAGGGAUGAGGCAG